GACGAACGCUGGCGGCGUGCUUAACACAUGCAAGUCGAACGGAAAGGCCCUGCUCUUGUGGGGUGCUCGAGUGGCGAACGGGUGAGUAACACGUGAGUAACCUGCCCUUGACUUUGGGAUAACUUCAGGAAACUGGGGCUAAUACCGGAUAGGAGCUCCUGCUGCAUGGUGGGGGUUGGAAAGUUUCGGCGGUUGUGGAUGGACUCGCGGCUUAUCAGCUUGUUGGUGGGGUAGUGGCUUACCAAGGGUUUGACGGGUAGCCGGCCUGAGAGGGUGACCGGCCACAUUGGGACUGAGAUACGGCGCAGACGCCUACGGGAGGCAGCAGUGGGGAAUAUUGCGCAGUGGGCGGAAGCCUGAUACAGCAACGCCGCGUGCGGGAUGACGGCCUUCGGGUUGUAAACCGCUUUCGCCUGUGACGAAGCGUGAGUGACGGUAAUGGGUAAAGAAGCACCGGCUAACUACGUG
rnacentral:rRNA from 1 species